rnacentral:rRNA from 1 species
GAUGAACGCUAGCUACAGGCUUAACACAUGCAAGUCGAGGGGAAACAACAUCGAAAGCCUGCUUUUGAUGGGCGUCGACCGGCGCACGGGUGAGUAACGCGUAUCCAACCUGCCCACCACUUGGGGAUAACCUUGCGAAAGUAAGACUAAUACCCAAUGAUAUCUCUAGAAGACAUCUGAAAGAGAUUAAAGAUUUAUCGGUGAUGGAUGGGGAUGCGUCUGAUUAGCUUGUUGGCGGGGUAACGGCCCACCAAGGCAACGAUCAGUAGGGGUUCUGAGAGGAAGGUCCCCCACAUUGGAACUGAGACACGGUCCAAACGCCUACGGGAGGCAGCAGUGAGGAAUAUUGGUCAAUGGACGAGAGUCUGAACCAGCCAAGUAGCGUGCAGGAAGACGGCCCUAUGGGUUGUAAACUGCUUUUAUAAGGGAAUAAAGUGAGUCUCGUGAGACUUUUUGCAUGUACCUUAUGAAUAAGGACCGGCUAAUUCCGUG